rnacentral:rRNA from 1 species
AAAUUGAAGAGUUUGAUCAUGGCUCAGAUUGAACGCUGGCGGCAGGCCUAACACAUGCAAGUCGAACGGUAACAGGAAACAGCUUGCUGUUUCGCUGACGAGUGGCGGACGGGUGAGUAAUGUCUGGGAAACUGCCUGAUGGAGGGGGAUAACUACUGGAAAUGGUAGCUAAUACCGCAUAAUGUCGCAAGACCAAAGAGGGGGACCUUCGGGCCUCUUGCCAUCGGAUGUGCCCAGAUGGGAUUAGCUUGUUGGUGGGGUAACGGCUCACCAAGGCGACGAUCCCUAGCUGGUCUGAGAGGAUGACCAGCCACACUGGAACUGAGACACGGUCCAGACUCCUACGGGAGGCAGCAGUGGGGAAUAUUGCACAAUGGGCGCAAGCCUGAUGCAGCCAUGCCGCGUGUAUGAAGAAGGCCUUCGGGUUGUAAAGUACUUUCAGCGGGGAGGAAGGGAGUAAAGUUAAUACCUUUGCUCAUUGACGUUA